rnacentral:lncRNA from 1 species
UUUAUUGAAACUCUAUUUUAUUUAAUAAUUUAUUUUUUAUAUAAUUUAGGAUAUUUUAUUCUAAAGUCUUGUUUUAGUACCAUCAACGUUAAAAAUGGAAGGAGUUUAAAUAAGAAGCCUGAUUUUAUGUAUUGCUUGAUGAAAGGUUACAUGUUUAGGCCUUUAUCUACCGAUUACAAUUUAUUAGGAAUUACGAUUUAUGAAUUAUAAAACGCGCAUACAUCACGUUUCAAAACGUGCUGACGUUUACCUCAAGCGUGCGCUUACGAACGCGCGGUUAACGGUUACCCGGAAGCGGUUUAUUGUCGUCAACUUGGAAGACCCUUCUAUGUACAAUAAAUAAAUCAGAAAUAAACUCCGAGAUGGAUUAUUUUUCUACAAGUCUCAUCUGGGUCCCCAUGAAGGUGAGUAACUUAUAUUACAAAAUGUUCAUUUUUGGUUGGAGCAUCUCUUAAGGCACAGACAACGAGAUUUAUGACAAGUUGUGCUUGAGAACUUUGAUUUUAUUUACACUAUUUACAGUUCUUAUUGGUUGAACUCAAUUGACAUUCAUAGCAAAAUGUUCCCAAUAUUGGAUAUUACAAACACGAAAACUGGUUCUGUAGCUGUUAAAAAUUAUAUUAUUUACAACCUUAUUACCAGAUUAGAUAAGAAACAUGAAUAGCAUUUAAAACAGAAAAAUAUGUAGCAUUUAACCCAUUAAUGCCCAGAUCGGAUUUUCUAUCAAUGUCUUUUCUCGCACAUCUUUUAUCUGAGCAUAUGUGCCGUUCUUUUGCAGUUUUUCACAUAAGAUUUAAUACAGCAACUUGUGAUAGGUGAAAAGAUUUUUGUAUUGAAGCUCCAACAUGUCAUCACGUGACAUCCAGCAAGUUGUCAAAAUCUCUUUCUAAGGUUGUAUUUUUGUAUGCCAGUUGUUUAGCCACCCAAAAAUACUGUCGGAAGAAAAUGAAUAACAAAGUCCUUGGCAACAUCCACAGGCCUGAAUGGGUUAAAUGCCAGUAAAUGUGAUC